CCUACGGGGUGCAGCAGUGGGGAAUAUUGGACAAUGGGCGAAAGCCUGAUCCAGCCAUGCCGCGUGUGUGAAGAAGGCCUUCGGGUUGUAAAGCACUUUCAGUGGGGAAGAAAGCCUUGGGGCUAAUACCCUCGAGGAAGGACAUCACCCACAGAAGAAGCACCGGCUAACUCCGUGCCAGCAGCCACGGUAAUACGGAGGGUGCGAGCGUUAAUCGGAAUUACUGGGCGUAAAGCGCGCGUAGGCGGUCUGAUAAGCCGGUUGUGAAAGCCCCGGGCUCAACCUGGGAACGGCAUCCGGAACUGUCAGGCUAGAGUGCAGGAGAGGAAGGUAGAAUUCCCGGUGUAGCGGUGAAAUGCGUAGAGAUCGGGAGGAAUACCAGUGGCGAAGGCGGCCUUCUGGACUGACACUGACGCUGAGGUGCGAAAGCGUGGGUAGCAAACAGGAUUAGAUACCCCAGUAGUC
rnacentral:rRNA from 1 species